UACAGAGGGGGCAAGCGUUGUUCGGAAUUACUGGGCGUAAAGGGCGCGUAGGCGGCCGGUUAAGUCGAACGUGAAAUCCCCGGGCUCAACCCGGGAACUGCGUCCGAUACUGGCAGGCUUGAAUCCGGGAGAGGGAUGCGGAAUUCCGAGUGUAGAGGUGAAAUUCGUAGAUAUUCGGAAGAACACCAGUGGCGAAGGCGGCUCACUGGCCCGGUACUGACGCUGAGGUGCGAAAGCGUGGGGAGCAAACAGG
rnacentral:rRNA from 1 species